GAUGAACGCUGGCGGCGUGCUUAACACAUGCAAGUCGAACGAUGAAGCCCAGCUUGCUGGGUGUAUUAGUGGCGAACGGGUGAGUAACACGUGAGUAACCUGCCCUUAACUCUGGGAUAAGCCUGGGAAACUGGGUCUAAUACCGGAUAGGAGCGUCCACCGCAUGGUGGGUGUUGGAAAGAUUUAUCGGUUUUGGAUGGACUCGCGGCCUAUCAGCUUGUUGGUGAGGUAAUGGCUCACCAAGGCGAAGACGGGUAGCCGGCCUGAGAGGGUGACCGGCCACAAUGGGACUGAGACACGGCACAGACUCCUACGGGAGGCAGCAGUGGGGAAUAUUGCACAAUGGGCGCAAGCCUGAUGCAGCGAAGCCGCGUGAGGGAUGACGGCCUUCGGGUUGUAAACAUCUUUCAGUAGGGAAGAAGCGAAAGUGACGGUACCUGCAGAAGAAGCACCGGCUAACUACGUG
rnacentral:rRNA from 1 species